rnacentral:rRNA from 1 species
GUCCACGCCCUAAACGAUGAUUACUAGAUGUGUGCAAUAUACCGUACGCGUCCAAGCAAAAGCGUUAAGUAAUCCACCUGGGGAGUACGGCCGCAAGGCUGAAACUCAAAGGAAUUGACGGGGGCCCCGCACAAGCGGAGGAGCAUGUGGUUUAAUUCGAUGAUACGCGAGGAACCUUACCAGGGCUUGAAAGUUAGUGAAUGAUUUAGAAAUAGGUCAGCAAGCAAUUGCACGAAACUAGGUGCUGCAUGGCCGUCGU